GUCAGGUCGGAUUUGAUGCUUAAGCCUGAUAAAGCUAGCAUAUAUUUGCCGUCAGCUUGCCAAUUGAAGAUCCCAAACCUUCGAUCCGAAGUAAGUAACGGAGUGGGGAAAGCUAAAAAGAAAAAACGAAAAAGAUUGAUACUCUGGGGGACCCCAUUUUGUUCUUUACCUCUUCGAAAAGAUGGAAUGCUUUGAAGUCUUUUGGUCACUAUCAACAAUUGGCGACAAUCUCAAUUCUAUUUAACCACCAAGAUGAGAUUUUAGAAGGCCCUUGAAGAAUCGAUAAGGUAUGCAAAGUGAAAAAGACAGAACAAGAAUCACAGUAUCUCGACUCUCACAGCAAGCAAAGUCAAGAUGAAGACAUCCUCGGCUUAUCAAUGCCAUUUUUCAAGAAUCAUAUUACAGUAUCAGUAUGCUUUGCGGGUGGUUUCUAAGCACAUUUUCAAGAAUCUUUCAGAAAUGAGAUUUUCGUAUGUCAAGAAUGAUAGAGAGAGAGAGGGAGCCGCAAAAUAUACAGCAUAUUAAUAUGGCUAGUAGCACAUUACAACUUUAAGCAUUGAGAUCUUCAAUGGACAACCAGUGUCAUUUGUUCUAAAAUGGUGAAAAUACGGAGCAGGAAAAGAAAAGGAAAUUCUUUUACUCGACUCAAUUGUGGCUUGAUACCAAUAUUAUUUCUUGUGAGACCUUUCUUAGCUGUCAGUGCUUUGUGAAUGAAUUUGAUGCCUUUCCUUUAUUCUCUGUCUCUGUCUCUCUCUCAAGAAGUUAUUGUGUGUUUCCCCAUGGCACAUGGUUUUUCUUUUUCUUUCCUUGUGCAUUUCUCUUUUCUGUUUCGAUUCCAAGCUGGCUUAUAGUUUCCAUAGUUAAGUUCUAGAGCUAUAAAUAACAGCACACAUCGCCCAUCUCUAUUUGUACUCCUUAUGUUUCUUAUUUAGUCAAGAUUAAAGCAGACAGCUCUUUGCAAAAUUACAAAAAAUGGCAAAUCAACCCGCCCAAUCUCGCCCAUGGUUGUUCCGUUUGCCUUCAAUUGUACGUCCAGCCCCUGAACCAGCUCCAACCCCAGCACCUGAGCCAGCUCCUCCCCAGCCUCGUCCACCUCUUGCUCGACCUGCAUUUAGGCCAGCUGCUCCGUCUCUCCCUCCAGCAACUCAACUUCAAGGGCCCACUCCUGCCCCUCCUCCUACUACUAAUGGUGCAGGUGGAGGUGUGGCAUCAUUACCAACAUCCCCAGUUCCCAGGGCGUCUGCCCCUUCUGCUUCAUUGCCUACUUCUCCGGCUCAAACCACCACGAUGGUUGCCCCAGUCGCUACCUCAGCUUCGGUGCCAUCAUCUCCAAGACCCAGAGUUUCAGCUCCUACCUCCUCACUUCCACCUUCUCCCGCCUCUAAACCAGCACCAGUGGACUCUUUGGUCUCAACUCCUCCAGCCCCAAAACCAGCUCCGUCUUCUUCUGUCCCAACGUCUCCAGCUCCUAAGCCAGUGCCAAGUUCUCCUGUCCCUAAAUCAGCACCAGUCACCUCCUCAGUGCCAACUUCUCCAGCCCCCAAAGCCAUGACCACCGCCAUAGCUCCUGUUCCUAGCCCUGAACCAUCUCCAAGAACCAUCAAGCCAGCGGUUCAAAGCCCACUUCAAUCACCCAAGACUAAGCCCACUGCUCCACCACCUUCUCCUCUGAACCUACCUCCAGCCAAGAUAAGAGCUGAUGCAGAAACUGAAGCCAAGAUCCCAUUAGAGGCAGAGCAAAAAACAGUGCUGGUUCAAAAGACUAUUGAUAAGCCCAAGCCCCGAGGCAAUGGCAGCGACUCAGAGAGAAAUCUCGCAGAUGCUCUGAAGACCAGCAUUGCACAACUUGGGAAGCAAGGACCGUCAAAAGAUGGGAAGACAAAAGAAAAUGGCCAACGAAAGAAGAUUUCUUCGGAUUCUGAAGAUGGGGGCAUGAGGGUAAUAACAAUUGCUGGAGAAAACAAAGGCGCCUUCAUGGAAGUAAUCCGGUCUCCCAAUAAGAAACAUGCGUUUGAGGGCAAUCCUAAUUAUCUCAACAAGAAGAGCAAUCCUAAUUCCGAUGGCAAUGAGUGGGGAAGCCAUAGCAGCAGCAGCAGCAGCGGAGAAGAAGGAAACCCAAAGAAGGACAAGGGCCAUAAAGGACGGUCAAUGGCAUCUCCCCCAAUGAGUACUUUUAUGAACAGUAACGUGCAAGGUGUUAACAACUCGAUUGUGUUCAAUUCAUCCUGCACUCACCAUGAUCCUGGAGUUCAUCUUGCUAUGUCCAGAAAACCAGCCGGUGGUGGGUUCAACAUUAAGGACCGCGGCAAUGGGCACUAAGGUUUAAGACAACGCGAAAUAAAGGAAUUGUUUUUAGCAGCAGCAGAGAAGGAAGCGGCUUAUUUGUACUUUGAUGUGUGGAUGUAGGAUACAGUAUUAUAUAAUGAGAAUAAAUAUAAAGCUGUUGUGUGAUGGUAAGGAAAUUAAAGGGCAUGGAUUCUGAUUCUUCAUUGUCAUGUUCCACUUUUGGUGGAGUGCAAUUGAAGAUUGGUCAAUGUCCAUUGUCCAGACUAAGGUAUAUAUGGGUUGAGAUUUAAGAUUUUUAUGCAUAAAUGGGAAUUUAAUAUUUCCAGAGUCGGAUUGCACAUGCAUCCAUUCUUGUAUUUUACAACGUGGGAACAAUCUUUUA
rnacentral:misc_RNA from 1 species